CCAGAUGGCUGGACGGCCGCGGGCGGGGCGAGAGAUCGCGUCGCCGGAGGAAAGUCCGGGCUCCACGGAAACACGGUGCCGGUCAAUGACCGGCGGGGGCGACCCCAGGGACAGUGCCACAGAAAACAAACCGCCGGGUCGCCGCAAGGCCAUCAGGCAAGGGUGAAACGGUGCGGCAAGAGCGCACCGCGCCCCCGGCAACGGGGGCGGCAGGGUAAACCCCACCGGGAGCAAGGCCGAAUAGGAGGGGCCGGCGCAGCGCCGCAAGGCGUAGGUGCUGGGGCGUUUCCGCCCUGUCCCUCGGGUUGGCCGCGCGAAGCCUGCGGUGACGCAGGCUCCAGAGGAAUGGUCGUCCCCUGUCUUCGGGCAGGGACAGAACCCGGCUUACAGGCCAUCUGGCACC
rnacentral:RNase_P_RNA from 1 species